CAAAAUGUAGCUUAACCCAAAGCAUUUAGUUUACACCUAAAAGAUUUCAGCUUAUUCUGAACAUUUUGA
rnacentral:tRNA from 1 species